rnacentral:rRNA from 1 species
UACGUAGGGAGCAAGCGUUGUCCGGAAUCAUUGGGCGUAAAGCGCGCGUAGGUGGCUUCGUAAGUCCGUUGUGAAAAUCAAAGGCUCAACCUUUGAAAGCCGAUGGAUACUGUGAAGCUAGAGUACGGAAGAGGCGAGUGGAAUUCCUGGUGUAGCGGUGGAAUGCGCAGAUAUCAGGAGGAACACCAAUAGCGAAGGCAGCUCGCUGGGACGUUACUGACACUGAGGCGCGAAAGCGUGGGGAGCGAACAGG